GUGGUGGGGGUUUGAGGGCGGAGGGAUGUAAAGGCUAGUGUCGGUAUAGGGAAGUUGGUUAUGCAGAGAUGAAUGUGAAAUGGUUCCAUUUUGAUAGGGGGCGGUAUAGACACGUUCAUGAAACUUUCCUGUUAGAAAAAGCCAUCCCAAAGAAUAGCCUCGGCUUCUCUUCUCGUCACCAAGUCGAACAUGAGGGAGGAGACCGAAAUGAGUCUUAACCAAUAGGAGGAAUUGCUGUUACCAGGCAGAAGACGAUCAAGCACUUAUGGGAGUGUUGAAAUGUUGUAUUCAAAUUAAAGUUAUCGAUAAUCAUGUGAUUGGUUAAAAUAUCAUUGGCUGUAUGCCAAAUAAAAAAAUGUUGAACGUUCUGUUAUAUAACAUUAGAACAAUAACAAAAACAAGUUUGAACAGAAUGCUAUGUUCUUUUACCUUUAGAACAGUUGGAAGUCAUGGGAGUGGAAUAUCAAUAUUAUUGUCGUGUGAAAGAGGAUCUAAAUAAGGGAUCAAUUCUGUGAAUAGUCGAAAUCAGAUUUAUCACACUUUUUCUAAGAGUUGCAAUAACGUUUAAUCUCAGUCGUUUCAAUAGGAAUAUGAGUUUUUUGCAUUCUUAACAUUCCUCUCAACAGGUUACUGUAAAACUACCAAAAUAAGUUUUCUUUUUGUCAAUACUUGCUAUUGUUGACGAAUGUGGGUGACUCUCAUCUACACUCUUUCACAUUUACAAGUUUAUUAACAAAACUUAUUUUCAAUAAAAAUCGAUUUUUAUCAUUAACCCA